UUAGUUAUAGAUAUAGAUGUCGAAGAAAUCAAAAUCAACUUAUGAAUUAUCGAAUUGAUUCUUUCAACAAUCUAUGAAGGUUUUUUCAGUGUUACUAUUUUUGGAUUCAUUGCCAAGCAAUGAAGCAGUGCGUUUAACUAUUAACAGAAGAACUCUUUCAGGGGCUGUUGAAUGCAAAGAAGUAAACAAUGAUUAAGAUACAAAUGAUUUUGGCAGUGCACAUCCUGAUUCAAAUUGCCCAAAUGCUGCACACAGUGAAUUAUCGGUUAAAAAAAAAACUUUGGAAUUUCACCCGAUUCAAUUUAUUUGAUGAUUCAACUGAUUCAGAAUAAUUUAUUUAAAAGAAAUAUA
rnacentral:lncRNA from 1 species